UACGUAGGGGGCGAGCGUUGUCCGGAAUCACUGGGCGUAAAGCGCGCGUAGGCGGACUUUUAAGUCAGAUGUGAAAACUCUGGGCUCAACCUGGAGACUGCAUCUGAAACUGGAAGUCUUGAGUGUAGAAGAGGAGAGUGGAAUUCCUAGUGUAGCGGUGAAAUGCGUAGAUAUUAGGAGGAACACCAGUGGCGAAGGCGACUCUCUGGUCUAUAACUGACGCUGAGGUGCGAAAGCGUGGGGAG
rnacentral:rRNA from 1 species